GGGGGUGAUCCGGUUUCGACGGGAUGCGUGGAGACCAGAUUGCGCGUCGAGGAUUCUCGUUGGCCUCGUUAAAAAACGGGAAAAACUGUAAUUGCGAACAACGAUUACGCUCUCGCGGCCUGAUUAACGGCCCCGAUGUCGCGCGGCGGACGCCUGCUAAGCCGCAGCGGCAUAACCUAGCAGGACCCGCUGCGGGGUUUUCCGCCUGGACGCCGCAGCCUGCAUAAUCAAGCGGUUGCUUUCGGAUAAGCCCGUUCGUCGGCGUACCGAAGGCGAGAUCAAAGGCGGACUACACGCGUAGAUGUUUGGCCAAAGCCGUUUCGGACGGGGGUUCGACUCCCCCCACCUCCACCA
rnacentral:tmRNA from 1 species